rnacentral:rRNA from 1 species
UAGGGAAUCUUCCACAAUGGACGCAAGUCUGAUGGAGCAACGCCGCGUGAGUGAAGAAGGUUUUCGGACCGUAAAGCUCUGUUGUUGGUGAAGAAGGAUAGAGGUAGUAACUGGCCUUUAUUUGACGGUAAUCAACCAGAAAGUCACGGCUAACUACGUGCCAGCAGCCGCGGUAAUACGUAGGUGGCAAGCGUUGUCCGGAUUUAUUGGGCGUAAAGCGAGCGCAGGCGGAAGAAUAAGUCUGAUGUGAAAGCCCUCGGCUUAACCGAGGAAUUGCAUCGGAAACUGUUUUCUUGAGUGCAGAAGAGGAGAGUAGAACUCCAUGUGUAGCGGUGGAAUGCGUAGAUAUAUGGAAGAAUACCAGUGGCGAAGGCGGCUCUCUGGUCUGCAACUGACGCUGAGGCUCGAAAGCAUGGGUAGCGAACAGGAUUAGAUACCCUGGUAGUCCAUGCCGUAAACGAUGAGUGCUAAGU